ACAAAGAUACGUCAAGGUAAAGAGACUGUUGACGAUUACAUUAUACGCUUUCGAACCAUAGCGUGUAAUAGUGCAUGGAAUGAGGAGGCCCUCUAUGACAUGUUUUAUGAGGGACUGGCGGAUUGCGUUAAGGAUGAAUUGGCAGCACGGGAACUCCCAAGACGGAUCAAUGAUUUGAUGUCACUGGCAGCCCGCAUUGACAGACGCAUUCAGGAGAGAGGAAGGGAGAGACACAAUGCACUUAACCCUAGAAUUUAUCAUGAACCCCGGUCACGUUUCAGUCCUAGGCCUUCUUCGACUUCAGGAUCCAACACAGAGGAGCCUAUGCAGUUGGGUCGCACACAGCUCUCCAAGGAGGAGAGGGACCGUCGAUUCCAGCAGAAUCUUUGUUUCUACUGUGAUGCUCCCGAUCACCGUAUUGAGAACUGUCCAGUAAAAGGUCUGGCUCCACACGGAAGAAGGAGACGUGUGUGAGCCUUUCUCUAUCAUCCUCCUUCCAACCUAACCCAAGGACUAAAGCCAUGUUUCAUGUCCGGAAUCAGGUCUGUCCUGGUUGCAACAACACAAUCCGCAGGUUGAUUGGCGGUCAGGUCGGAUCCUGACUUGGGAUACUGGCUGCUACAAUAACUGUCUAGGCGCUAUGGAAACACCACCGUCCUCA